rnacentral:sRNA from 1 species
UCCGUAGGUGAACCUGCGGAAGGAUCAUUACCGAGUGAGGGUCUCUCAGGCCCGACCUCCCACCCUGUGUUUUUGUGACCUUGUUGCUUUGGCGGGCCCGCCUCGAUGAGAGGCCGCCGGAAGCUCACCGCUUUGGGCCCGUGCCCGCCAGUAGCCCCCUUAAAUUCUUAAUAAACCAGUCGUCUGAGUCCAUGGAUAUAAUGAAAAAAACUUUCAACAACGGAUCUCUUGGUUCUGGCAUCGAUGAAGAACGCAGCGAAAUGCGAUAAGUAAUGUGAAUUGCAGAAUUUAGUGAAUCAUCGAAUCUUUGAACGCAUAUUGCGCCCUUUGGUAUUCCGGAGGGCAUGCCUGUUCGAGCGUCAUUAACGACCGUCAAGCCUGGCUUGGUGUUUGGACGUCGGUCGUUGAGACCGCGUCUUAAAGACAAUGGCGGUGUCGAUUCAGUCCUCGGUGCAACGAGCUCCACGAGCACGCACCGCACGGGCUAUCGGCGCCCGCCUAGACCCCCUAUUUUCUCAGGUUGACCUCGGAUCAGGUAGGUAUACCCGCUGAACUUAAGCAUAUCAAUAAGCGGAGGAAAAGAAACCAACAGGGAUUGCCUCAGUAACGGCGAGUGAAGCGGCAACAGCUCAAAUUUGAAAUCUGGCCUCACGGUCCGAGUUGUAAUUUGUAGAGGAUGUUUCGGGUACCGCCACGGUUUAAAUUUCUUGGAACAGAAUGUCAUAGAGGGUGAGAAUCCCGUCUUGAACCGCCGGUAGGGCCCGUGUGAAACUCCUUCGACGAGUCGAGUUGUUUGGGAAUGCAGCUCAAAAUGGGUGGUAAAUUUCAUCUAAAGCUAAAUAUUGGCCAGAGACCGAUAGCGCACAAGUAGAGUGAUCGAAAGAUGAAAAGCACUUUGAAAAGAGAGUUAAACAGUAUGUGAAAUUGUUGAAAGGGAAACGCUUGAAGU